UCCAAUCACUUAGUUCUGGAACCAACCCAGGAGAGA
rnacentral:tRNA from 1 species